GACGAACGCUGGCGGCGUGCCUAAUACAUGCAAGUCGAACGCACAGUUUAUACCGUAGCUUGCUACACCAUAGACUGUGAGUUGCGAACGGGUGAGUAACGUGUAGGUAACCUGCCUGGUAGCGGGGGAUAACUAUUGGAAACGAUAGCUAAUACCGCAUAAUAUUAAUUAUUGCAUGAUAAUUAAUUGAAAGGUGCAAUUGCACCACUACCAGAUGGACCUGCGUUGUAUUAGCUAGUAGGUGAGGUAACGGCUCACCUAGGCGACGAUACAUAGCCGACCUGAGAGGGUGAUCGGCCACACUGGGACUGAGACACGGCCCAGACUCCUACGGGAGGCAGCAGUAGGGAAUCUUCGGCAAUGGACGAAAGUCUGACCGAGCAACGCCGCGUGAGUGAAGAAGGUUUUCGGAUCGUAAAGCUCUGUUGUAAGAGAAGAACGGGUGUGAGAGUGGAAAGUUCACACUGUGACGGUAUCUUACCAGAAAGGGACGGCUAACUACGUG
rnacentral:rRNA from 1 species